rnacentral:rRNA from 1 species
UACGUAGGGUCCGAGCGUUGUCCGGAAUUACUGGGCGUAAAGAGCUCGUAGGUGGUUUGUCGCGUUGUUCGUGAAAACUCACAGCUCAACUGUGGGCGUGCGGGCGAUACGGGCAGACUAGAGUGCGGUAGGGGAGACUGGAAUUCCUGGUGUAGCGGUGGAAUGCGCAGAUAUCAGGAGGAACACCGAUGGCGAAGGCAGGUCUCUGGGCCGGAACUGACGCUGAGGAGCGAAAGCGUGGGUAGCAAACAGG